GUCCAUCUUGGUAGCGGAGCGUCCUGUCUUUCAUUGAAGGGAAAGGGUGAUCUUUCCUGGAGAAGUCGGGAAUGAGCAUGCUGACAUGAGUAACGAUUCUCGGGAAAUGAAUCCCCGUCGCCGAAUGCGCAAGGGUUCCAAAGCACUGGUUAUCAUCUUUGGAAAAAACGGAUCCUAAGGCAGUGAAGACAUUUCUUCAGCCGAUGGACAUAUCUUUCUAAGUGGGACGAGCAAAUAACUAUCAUAAGAACUAAUGGUUCUUUAGAGCUCAUGGUUCUUAUAAUAGGUAGACUGAAAUAAAUUGAAUGGGAUUCUUUAUUUUGGAAAGAUGCUCCAGGAAAAGCAAGUAAGAGAGGACCCAAAGAUCUUGACCUCAGAUUCCGUACUUAACCCGACACUGGUGCGCAGGUUGAAUAAACUCAGGCGUCGAGAGACCCAUGGUUAAGGAAC
rnacentral:rRNA from 1 species